UACGUAGGGGGCAAGCGUUGUCCGGAUUUACUGGGCGUAAAGAGCGUGUAGGCGGCCCGGUAAGUCCGCUGUAAAAGUCAAAGGCUCAACCUUUGAAUGUCAGUGGAUACUGCCGGGCUAGAGUCCGGAAGAGGCGAGUGGAACUCCUGGUGUAGCGGUGGAAUGCGCAGAUAUCAGGAAGAACACCAACGGCGAAGGCAGCUCGCUAGGACGGUACUGACGCUGAGACGCGAAAGCGUGGGGAGCGAACAGG
rnacentral:rRNA from 1 species